GCAGGGACCCUUUAAACUUUACCAGACUGGGGGUUGUGUGUGGUGUCAGCCAUCUGGCUGAUGUCAUUGGUGACUCCUCAGCCAGCCAGAGGGCAGAGGAGACUCACGAAGACUUGAAAGAGAAUCCUGGAUUGUUGGUUGGUCUUGGCUCUCUUUAAUGAGUGGACAAUAUCAUAAACCAAAUGACGGUUUGUUCUUCAGAGAAGCAUCGUUGCAGUGGAAGAGUUUUGUUGAGAACAAGGCGCUACAAAUCAAUCAGGGAAUUGUUCUGUAGGCCUGCCAGGUCUAUAAAUAUCUAGACUCCUGCUUACCAAGUAGUGGAUGGAUGUACUUCUCCAGAUGGAGAAUCUGAGGCUCAGAGGUGUUAAGCAAUUUCUCCAAGGUCAUUCAGCUUGGAUUCAAAAUCAGGAACUCUUCACCUUUCCAGAAUAUGGAGGACUAUGAUACAACUGAUAGCACAUUUGGAUUUACUAUUUCACUUGAACAGUUGGUGUUUACUGGCAGCAACAAGAACAAAAUUUAUAGCAGCAAAUGGAAGCUGAACUCGCAUGCUGGCUUUGCACUGAAGAACUUUGUGUUUGCCAUUUCCUAAUUGUGAAAACAAUAUGUCCAAGAUUUUGCAGUCAUCAGCAUUCUGAUGUAACGACUUCCAUCUGGUCAAAGGAAGAAAUUCAGAACCUCUAUCUUCUUUUGAAUUCUACUUCAAUGCAAAGGCAUAUCCACAGCUCUUCGAAUAAGCAAUGUGAUGUUAGCAAAAGUGCAGGGGCUCCUUGAGCACCUUCCAGGGCUAACCAGCUGGUGAGGAGUGGCCUCCAGGAAGGAGAGAAGCAGUCUGAUCUAGACUGUGAUUUACACUUAAAAUACCAACUGCAUCAUAUCUUCAGAACAAUUCUUCUAGACCUUGCAUCUAAAUAUGGAGUCAUUAACUAUCAACGAACAAAACCUCGGGAUGGCCGAAGGACCUAGGCUAUACAGAAAGCUGUGAACUGCCAAUGAGAACACAGUCCUGAACACAUAAACAAGAGCUAACUUGUAUACUUGUACUGUGCAACACUAAUACAAUUUACCAUGUAGUUUAAUCCAGAACCUACCACAUAGUAGCAGCUCAGUGAAUAUUUGUUGAAUGAAAUAAAUACUCCUAGGAUUCAGCAGGAAGAGAAAUCCAUAAAAGUUAAGAAUGGAGAAAAUUGCUCACUAAUACAUGGUGGGUAGAUACAAGACUUCUCUGGAACCAGACUUCCUGCGUCAGAAUCCCGGCUUUACCAACUGAAUCUCUCUGUCUUUGGGCAAACCCCAUAAUUUCUCUGUACCUCAUCUGUAAAGUGCAGAUAAUAAUUUUCAAAAUGGAAUUUUUAGAAAAUAUAAAAUCCUUUAUUUUUUAACUCUUUGAGUGAGUUAAAAAUGAAUGUUAUGACUCUCUCAAAGAGCACCUGGGGAGUAAGGAUAUUUAUAGACAAUUUAACAGAGAAAGAUUAGGAUAAGAUUGCCAGGUUAGAUAUAAUCUGGGUAAUGUCCAAUAUGCCAUAAAUCACUGGGGUUCUCGGUUUCCCUGAUGAGAAAUCAGUCUUCAAAUUAACAAGUGACUUCCUUAAGCCUUGGAACUUUAAUCAUAGUUGAGUGAUGAGGUAAAUCAAGGACAUUCUUCAAGAAAAUCCUUGAGUGGCCUUUGCUCUCCUAUGAUAUUGAAAGAACAUGUCUCUCACCUUUUUGCCUUCGUUCCAAGUUUUUGAUAAUUUUUCUGGCAUCACCUUUCUUAUUAUGAGGAUGAAAUGGGUUAAUGUAACAAAAAGUCCUUAAAACAGUACCUGGCGGCCGGGCGCGGUGGCUCAAGCCUGUAAUCCCAGCACUUUGGGAGGCCGAGACGGGCGGAUCACGAGGUCAGGAGAUCGAGACCAUCCUGGCUAACACAAUGAAACCCCGUCUCCACUAAAAAUACAAAAAAACUAGCCGGGCGAGGUGGCGGCGCCUGUAGUCCCAGCUACUCGGGAGGCUGAGGCAGGAGAAUGGCGGGAACCCGGGAGGCGGAGCUUGCAGUGAGCCGAGAUCGCGCCAGUGCACUCCAGCCCGGGCGACAGAGCGAGACUCCGCCUCAAAAAAAAAAAAAAAAAAAAAAA
ensembl:lncRNA